GAUGAACGCUGGCGGCGUGCCUAAUACAUGCAAGUCGAGCGAAAGGACGCGAAGCUUGCUUUUUUGAUGUUAGCGGAGGACGGGUGAGUAACACGUGGAUAAUCUACCUAUAAGUCUGGGAUCACUUCGGGACACCGGCGCUAAUCCGGGAUAAUAUUUUGAUCCGCGUGGUGCAAAGGUGAAAGACGGUCUUGCUGUCACUUCUAGAUGGAUCCGCGCUGCAUUAGCUAGUUGUGAAGGUAACGGCUUAUCAAGGCAACGAUGCAUAGCCGACCUACGAGGGUGAUCGGCCGCACGGGAGCUGAGACACCGACCAGACUACUACGGGAGGCAGCAGUAGGGAAUCGUCCGCAACAGGCGAAAGCCUUACGGAGCGACGCGGCGUGUGUUAUGAAGGUCUUCCGAGCGUAAUACUCGGUUAUUAGUGAAGAACAGAUUUGUAAGGAACUGUACACAGCUUGACGGUACUGAAUCAGAAAGCCACGGCUAACUACGUG
rnacentral:rRNA from 1 species